rnacentral:rRNA from 1 species
AGAGACAGCAGCAGCCGCGGUAAUACGUAGGGUGCAAGCGUUAAUCGGAAUUACUGGGCGUAAAGCGUGCGCAGGCGGUUAUAUAAGACAGAUGUGAAAUCCCCGGGCUCAACCUGGGAACUGCAUUUGUGACUGUAUAGCUAGAGUACGGAAGAGGGGGAUGGAAUUCCGCGUGUAGCAGUGAAAUGCGUAGAUAUGCGGAGGAACACCGAUGGCGAAGGCAAUCCCCUGGGCCUGUACUGACGCUCAUGCACGAAAGCGUGGGGAGCAAACAGGAUUAGAUACCCCUGUAGUCCCUGUCUCUUAUAC